rnacentral:rRNA from 1 species
AGACCCGAAACCCGGUGAUCUAGCCAUGGGCAGGUUGAAGGUUGGGUAACACUAACUGGAGGACCGAACCGACUAAUGUUGAAAAAUUAGCGGAUGACCUGUGGCUGGGGGUGAAAGGCCAAUCAAACCGGGAGAUAGCUGGUUCUCCCCGAAAGCUAUUUAGGUAGCGCCUCGUGAAUUCAUCUCCGGGGGUAGAGCACUGUUUCGGCUAGGGGGCCAUCCCGGCUUACCAACCCGAUGCAAACUGCGAAUACCGGAGAAUGUUAUCACGGGAGACACACGGCGGGUGCUAACGUCCGUCGUGAAGAGGGAAACAACCCAGACCGCCAGCUAAGGUCCCAAAGUCAUGGUUAAGUGGGAAACGAUGUGGGAAGGCCCAGACAGCCAGGAUGUUGGCUUAGAAGCAGCCAUCAUUUAAAGAAAGCGUAAUAGCUCACUGGUCGAGUCGGCCUGCGCGGAAGAUGUAACGGGGCUAAACCAUGCACCGAAGCUGCGGCAGCGAACGUAUCACCCAAGACAACUUUACGGAGUUGACGAUUGACGGAGCGAAGCGACGUCAAAGCGUUCAUUAAAGUCGAGUUGGCUUAGGGAUACGUUCGUUGGGUAGGGGAGCGUUCUGUAAGCCCGUGAAGGUGGCCUGUGAGGG